rnacentral:rRNA from 1 species
AGCGAACGCUGGCGGCAGGCUUAACACAUGCAAGUCGAGCGCCCCGCAAGGGGAGCGGCAGACGGGAGAGUAACACGUGGGAACAUACCUUUUGGUUCGGAACAACUGAGGGAAACUUCAGCUAAUACCGGAUAAGCCCUUACGGGGAAAGAUUUAUCGCCGAAAGAUUGGCCCGCGUCUGAUUAGCUAGUUGGUGAGGUAACGGCUCACCAAGGCGACGAUCAGUAGCUGGUCUGAGAGGAUGAUCAGACUCACUGGGACUGAGACACGGCCCAGACUCCUACGGGAGGCAGCAGUGGGGAAUAUUGGACAAUGGGGGCAACCCUGAUCCAGCCAUGCCGCGUGAGUGAUGAAGGCCUUAGGGUUGUAAAGCUCUUUUGCCCGGGAAGAUAAUGACGGUACCGGGAGAAUAAGCCCCGGCUAACUGCGUG